UUAUAUGAUGAAGCGGCACUGGGCUCCGAUCAAUAUCACAUGAGUCGAUACGCCAUCCGCGGCAGGCCUAGAAAACCUCGCCCACUGAUC
rnacentral:snoRNA from 1 species